GGGAGUCGAACGGCAGCGCGAGAGAGCUUGCUCUCUUGGCGGCGAGUGGCGGACGGGUGAGUAAUAUAUCGGAACGUGCCCAGUAGCGGGGGAUAACUACUCGAAAGAGUGGCUAAUACCGCAUACGCCCUACGGGGGAAAGGGGGGGAUCGCAAGACCUCUCACUAUUGGAGCGGCCGAUAUCGGAUUAGCUAGUUGGUGGGGUAAAGGCUCACCAAGGCAACGAUCCGUAGCUGGUUUGAGAGGACGACCAGCCACACUGGGACUGAGACACGGCCCAGACUCCUACGGGAGGCAGCAGUGGGGAAUUUUGGACAAUGGGGGAAACCCUGAUCCAGCCAUCGGCCGUGUAUGAUGAAGGCCUUCGGGUUGUAAAGUACUUUUCGCAGAGAAGAAAAGGUACCUCCUAAUACGAGAUACUGCAGACGGUAUCUGCAGAAUAAGCACCGGCUAACUACGUGCCAGCAGCCGCGGUAAUACGUAGGGUGCAAGCGUUAAUCGGAAUUACUGGGCGUAAAGCGUGUGUAGGCGGUUCGGAGUGAAAGAUGUGAAAUCCCAAGGCUCAACCUUGGAACUGCAUUUUUAACUGCCGAGCUAGAGUAUGUCAGAGGGGGGUAGAAUUCCACGUGUAGCAGUGCUUUGCGUAGAUAAUGUGGGGAAUACCGAUGGCGAAGGCAGCCCCCUGGGAUAACAUUGACGCUCAGACACGAAAGCGUGGGGAGCAAACAGGAUUAGACACCCUGGUAGUCCACGCCCUAAACGAUGUCAACUAGCUGUUGGGGCCGUUAGGCCUUAGUAGCGCAGCUAACGCGUGAAGUUGACCGCCUGGGGAGUACGGUCGCAAGAUUAAAACUCAAAGGAAUUGACGGGGACCCGCACAAGCGGUGGAUGAUGUGGAUUAAUUCGAUGCGGC
rnacentral:rRNA from 1 species